rnacentral:rRNA from 1 species
GGAGCAUGUGGUUUAAUUCGAAGCAACGCGAAGAACCUUACCAGGUCUUGACAUCCUUUGACCACUCGAGAGAUCGAGCUUUCCCUUCGGGGACAAAGUGACAGGUGGUGCAUGGUUGUCGUCAGCUCGUGUCGUGAGAUGUUGGGUUAAGUCCCGCAACGAGCGCAACCCUUAUUACUAGUUGCCAGCAUUCAGUUGGGCACUCUAGUGAGACUGCCGGUGACAAACCGGAGGAAGGUGGGGAUGACGUCAAAUCAUCAUGCCCCUUAUGACCUGGGCUACACACGUGCUACAAUGGAUGGUACAACGAGUCGCGAAGUCGUGAGGCCAAGCUAAUCUCUUAAAGCCAUUCUCAGUUCGGAUUGUAGGCUGCAACUCGCCUACANGAAGCCGGAANCGC